rnacentral:rRNA from 1 species
UACGAAGGGGGCUAGCGUUGCUCGGAAUCACUGGGCGUAAAGCGCACGUAGGCGGAUUGCUAAGUCAGGGGUGAAAUCUUGGAGCUCAACUCCAGAACUGCCUUUGAUACUGGCAAUCUCGAGUCCGGGAGAGGUGAGUGGAACUGCGAGUGUAGAGGUGAAAUUCGUAGAUAUUCGGAAGAACACCAGUGGCGAAGGCGGCUCACUGGCCCGGUACUGACGCUGAUGUGCGAAAGCGUGGGGAGCAAACAGG